rnacentral:sRNA from 1 species
UCUUCACCAAUUUCGGUGCGCAUGUUCAUUAAGCGGAUCGCCGAAGCGCGUA